rfam:Schistosoma haematobium scaffold256_2, whole genome shotgun sequence.
AUCCAGCUGACGUGUCGCAAAUAGGAGAAAACGCGCGUCAAACUGGAU